rnacentral:rRNA from 1 species
CCUACGGGAGGCAGCAGUAGGGAAUCUUCCACAAUGGGCGCAAGCCUGAUGGAGCAACACCGCGUGAGUGAAGAAGGGUUUCGGCUCGUAAAGCUCUGUUGGUGGAGAAGAACGUGCGUUCGAGUAACUGUUCACGCAGUGACGGUAUCCAACCAGAAAGUCACGGCUAACUACGUGCCGGGAGCCGCGGUAAUACGUAGGUGGCAAGCAUUAUCCGGAUUUAUUGGGCGUAAAGCGAGCGCAGGCGGUGGCUUAGGUCUGAGGUGAAAGGCUUCGGCUUAACCGAAGGAGUGCACCGGAAACCGGGCGACUUGAGUGCAGAAGAGGACAGUGGAACUCCAUGUGUAGCGGUGGAAUGCGUAGAUAUAUGGAAGAACACCAGUGGCGAAGGCGGCUGUCUGGUCUGCAACUGACGCUGAGGCACGAAAGCGUGGGGAUCGAACAGGAUUAGAUACCCGUGUAGUC